UACGAAGGGGGCUAGCGUUGCUCGGAUUGACUGGGCGUAAAGGGCGCGUAGGCGGUUCGUACAGUCAGACGUGAAAUUCCUGGGCUCAACCUGGGGGCUGCGCUUAAUACAGGCAGACUAGAGUGUGAAAGAGGGUCGUGGAAUUUCCAGUGUAGAGGUGAAAUUCGUAGAUAUUGGAAAGAACACCGGUGGCGAAGGCGGCGACCUGGUUCAUUACUGACGCUGAGGCGCGAAAGCGUGGGGAGCAAACAGG
rnacentral:rRNA from 1 species